rnacentral:lncRNA from 1 species
GCGCUGGGCAGUAGCCCUGGGUGAGGUAGGAGGAUGUGGGUCCUGGACGAUAAACGGCUGCUCCCCAGAACCUAGAGCACUUCCGCAGCAGGGAGAGAAUUUCACAGCUCAUUGACUGCUCUGACUCCUAAUCUACACCGAGGAAACAAUGUUGCAGCUCAUCAAAUGCAAUCAGCUGCUAAUUGAAAGGAAAUGGAAUUUUACAAUUACAGGCCACCUUUCAGUGCUCAGGAUUUCUAAGCACUUCUCCCCACCUUCCUUUGCCAGCUCAGCACUGGCAGGAGCACUUGACAACCUGCUAGAGACUUCCCUAAAAGCUGCAUUUAGGACCUGGCCCGUUCUCCCCAGCUCCAGAGCAGCAGCAAAGGGAAGCAGCGUCCUCGCCAAUACCUGGGCUGUCCUUCAAGGCUCAGUGCAAGGAAAAACACCUGGGUUGGACAUCAGGUAGUGCUGACUUCCAGACCACUGAGGUCACCUGCAUAAGCGAGUCUGGCAACAAAUAAUCGUCUUCCAGAAAAUGACCAGAAACUCAGCCUGCUUUUUGUCAUUUCACCAGCCCCACCAUCUUUCCUUUAUUCUAGAGCUCCUGGCACACUUACAUGAAUCUCUUGAAAGAAGAGAAAUGAGAGCAUUCAUUCCAUACUAAUACAAUUGUGCCCUAUGGAAAGGCUUUUUGCUGGCAGACAUAGUAGACGGACCAUUUCCCAACUUCUUUUUCUUUGCCACCUUCCAGCCAAAGGUGUCCAUAUGACACAGCUCUGGACAGGAUAAUUGGAAGUCUGUUGUGGGAUUUCUGAGAAAGCUUUUGAUUUUCUGACAGAGACAUUUUUGCUUCCCCUUACCACUUCCUACUGGAUUACAGAUGUGAUGGAAAGAGCUGCAGCAGCCAUAAUACAACCAUAAAGGAGAGGAGAAGAGAAUUGCAAAGGCAUCAACCCACAUUGAAUUGAACUGCUAAGUUAACACUAGCAGUUACUUGCCUCCAGAUAUCUUGGUGUGUGAGAACAUUAAAUCUGUAUGUGUCUAAAUCAGUAUGGGUGAACAUUUCUGUCACUAAAGUCAAAAGCAUCCCUGAAACAGUGCAUGAUUCCAUAUGACCCUUACCACAACCCUGGUAAAUAGGUAUAAUUAUCCUUCAU